rnacentral:rRNA from 1 species
ACGGGGUGCAGCAGGCGCGAAACCUUUACAAUGCUGGCAACAGCGAUAGGGGGACCUCGAGUGCCACCGUACAACGGUGGCUGUCGUUGUGUCUAAAAAACACGAUAUAGCAAGGGCCGGGCAAGACCGGUGCCAGCCGCCGCGGUAACACCGGCGGCUCGAGUGGUAACCGUUAUUAUUGGGUUUAAAGGGUCUGUAGCCGGCCGGAUAAGUCUCUUGGGAAAUCUGGCAGCUCAACUGUCAGGCUUUCAGGAGAUACUGUUCGGCUCGAGACCGGGAGAGGUGAGAGGUACUUCAGGGGUAGGGGUGAAAUCUUGUAAUCCUUGAAGGACCACCGGUGGCGAAGGCGUCUCACCAGAACGGAUCUGACGGCAAGGGACGAAAGCUAGGGGCACGAACCGGAUUAGAUACCCGGGUAGUCCUAGCCGUAAACAAUACUCGCUAGGUGUCGGCCACGGUGCGACCGUGGUCGGUGCCGUAGGGAAACCGUGAAGCGAGCCACCUGGGAAGUACGGCCGCAAGGCUGAAACUUAAAGGAAUUGGCGGGGGAGCAC